rnacentral:rRNA from 1 species
UUAAGCGACUAAGCGUACACGGUGGAUGCCCUGGCAGUCAGAGGCGAUGAAGGACGUGCUAAUCUGCGAUAAGCGUCGGUAAGGUGAUAUGAACCGUUAUAACCGGCGAUUUCCGAAUGGGGAAACCCAGUGUGUUUCGACACACUAUCAUUAACUGAAUCCAUAGGUUAAUGAGGCGAACCGGGGGAACUGAAACAUCUAAGUACCCCGAGGAAAAGAAAUCAACCGAGAUUCCCCCAGUAGCGGCGAGCGAACGGGGAGGAGCCCAGAGCCUGAAUCAGUGUGUGUGUUAGUGGAAGCGUCUGGAAAGGCGCGCGAUACAGGGUGACAGCCCCGUACACAAAAAUGCACAUGCUGUGAGCUCGAUGAGUAGGGCGGGACACGUGGUAUCCUGUCUGAAUAUGGGGGGACCAUCCUCCAAGGCUAAAUACUCCUGACUGACCGAUAGUGAACCAGUACCGUGAGGGAAAGGCGAAAAGAACCCCGGCGAGGGGAGUGAAAAAGAACCUGAAACCGUGUACGUACAAGCAGUGGGAGCCUCUUUAUGGGGUGACUGCGUACCUUUUGUAUAAUGGGUCAGCGACUUAUAUUCUGUAGCAAGGUUAACCGAAUAGGGGAGCCGAAGGGAAACCGAGUCUUAACUGGGCGUUAAGUUGCAGGGUAUAGACCCGAAACCCGGUGAUCUAGCCAUGGGCAGGUUGAAGGUUGGGUAACACUAACUGGAGGACCGAACCGACUAAUGUUGAAAAAUUAGCGGAUGACUUGUGGCUGGGGGUGAAAGGCCAAUCAAACCGGGAGAUAGCUGGUUCUCCCCGAAAGCUAUUUAGGUAGCGCCUCGUGAACUCAUCUCCGGGGGUAGAGCACUGUUUCGGCAAGGGGGUCAUCCCGACUUACCAACCCGAUGCAAACUGCGAAUACCGGAGAAUGUUAUCACGGGAGACACACGGCGGGUGCUAACGUCCGUCGUGAAGAGGGAAACAACCCAGACCGCCAGCUAAGGUCCCAAAGUCAUGGUUAAGUGGGAAACGAUGUGGGAAGGCCCAGACAGCCAGGAUGUUGGCUUAGAAGCAGCCAUCAUUUAAAGAAAGCGUAAUAGCUCACUGGUCGAGUCGGCCUGCGCGGAAGAUGUAACGGGGCUAAACCAUGCACCGAAGCUGCGGCAGCGACGCUUAUGCGUUGUUGGGUAGGGGAGCGUUCUGUAAGCCUGUGAAGGUGUACUGUGAGGUAUGCUGGAGGUAUCAGAAGUGCGAAUGCUGACAUAAGUAACGAUAAAGCGGGUGAAAAGCCCGCUCGCCGGAAGACCAAGGGUUCCUGUCCAACGUUAAUCGGGGCAGGGUGAGUCGACCCCUAAGGCGAGGCCGAAAGGCGUAGUCGAUGGGAAACAGGUUAAUAUUCCUGUACUUGGUGUUACUGCGAAGGGGGGACGGAGAAGGCUAUGUUGGCCGGGCGACGGUUGUCCCGGUUUAAGCGUGUAGGCUGGUUUUCCAGGCAAAUCCGGAAAAUCAAGGCUGAGGCGUGAUGACGAGGCACUACGGUGCUGAAGCAACAAAUGCCCUGCUUCCAGGAAAAGCCUCUAAGCAUCAGGUAACAUCAAAUCGUACCCCAAACCGACACAGGUGGUCAGGUAGAGAAUACCAAGGCGCUUGAGAGAACUCGGGUGAAGGAACUAGGCAAAAUGGUGCCGUAACUUCGGGAGAAGGCACGCUGAUAUGUAGGUGAAGCGACUUGCUCGUGGAGCUGAAAUCAGUCGAAGAUACCAGCUGGCUGCAACUGUUUAUUAAAAACACAGCACUGUGCAAACACGAAAGUGGACGUAUACGGUGUGACGCCUGCCCGGUGCCGGAAGGUUAAUUGAUGGGGUUAGCGGUAACGCGAAGCUCUUGAUCGAAGCCCCGGUAAACGGCGGCCGUAACUAUAACGGUCCUAAGGUAGCGAAAUUCCUUGUCGGGUAAGUUCCGACCUGCACGAAUGGCGUAAUGAUGGCCAGGCUGUCUCCACCCGAGACUCAGUGAAAUUGAACUCGCUGUGAAGAUGCAGUGUACCCGCGGCAAGACGGAAAGACCCCGUGAACCUUUACUAUAGCUUGACACUGAACAUUGAGCCUUGAUGUGUAGGAUAGGUGGGAGGCUUUGAAGUGUGGACGCCAGUCUGCAUGGAGCCGACCUUGAAAUACCACCCUUUAAUGUUUGAUGUUCUAACGUUGACCCCUAAUCGGGGUUGCGGACAGUGUCUGGUGGGUAGUUUGACUGGGGCGGUCUCCUCCUAAAGAGUAACGGAGGAGCACGAAGGUUGGCUAAUCCUGGUCGGACAUCAGGAGGUUAGUGCAAUGGCAUAAGCCAGCUUGACUGCGAGCGUGACGGCGCGAGCAGGUGCGAAAGCAGGUCAUAGUGAUCCGGUGGUUCUGAAUGGAAGGGCCAUCGCUCAACGGAUAAAAGGUACUCCGGGGAUAACAGGCUGAUACCGCCCAAGAGUUCAUAUCGACGGCGGUGUUUGGCACCUCGAUGUCGGCUCAUCACAUCCUGGGGCUGAAGUAGGUCCCAAGGGUAUGGCUGUUCGCCAUUUAAAGUGGUACGCGAGCUGGGUUUAGAACGUCGUGAGACAGUUCGGUCCCUAUCUGCCGUGGGCGCUGGAGAACUGAGGGGGGCUGCUCCUAGUACGAGAGGACCGGAGUGGACGCAUCACUGGUGUUCGGGUUGUCAUGCCAAUGGCACUGCCCGGUAGCUAAAUGCGGAAGAGAUAAGUGCUGAAAGCAUCUAAGCACGAAACUUGCCCCGAGAUGAGUUCUCCCUGACUCCUUGAGAGUCCUGAAGGAACGUUGAAGACGACGACGUUGAUAGGCCGGGUGUGUAAGCGCAGCGAUGCGUUGAGCUAACCGGUACUAAUGAACCGUGAGGCUUAACCUU